rnacentral:rRNA from 1 species
CCUACGGGUGGCAGCAGUGAGGAAUAUUGGUCAAUGGACGAGAGUCUGAACCAGCCAAGUAGCGUGAAGGAUGACUGCCCUAUGGGUUGUAAACUUCUUUUAUAUGGGAAUAAAAUGUUCCACGUGUGGGAUUUUGUAUGUACCCUAUGAAUAAGGAUCGGCUAACUCCGUGCCAGCAGCCGCGGUAAUACGGAGGAUCCGAGCGUUAUCCGGAUUUAUUGGGUUUAAAGGGAGCGUAGGUGGAUUGUUAAGUCAGUUGUGAAAGUUUGCGGCUCAACCGUAAAAUUGCAGUUGAAACUGGCAGUCUUGAGUACAGUAGAGGUGGGCGGAAGUCGUGGUGUAGCGGUGAAAUGCUUAGAUAUCACGAAGAACUCCGAUUGCGAAGGCAGUUCACUGGACUGCAACUGACACUGAGGCUCGAAAGUGUGGGUAUCAAACAGGAUUAGAUACCCGGGUAAUC